UCCGGUUUGUCACCGGCAGUCACCUUAGAGGGCCCAACUUAAUGCUGGCAACUAAGAUUAAGGGUUGCGCUCGUUGCGGGACUUAACCCAACAUCUCACGACACGAGCUGACGACAACCAUGCACCACCUGUCUCUUUGUCCCCUAAAAGGAGAACUCUCUAUCUCUAAAGAUGUCAAAGGAUGUCAAGUCCUGGUAAGGUUCUUCGCGUUGCUUCGAAUUAAACCACAUGCUCCACUGCUUGUGCGGGUCCCCGUCAAUUCCUUUGAGUUUCAGCCUUGCGGCCGUACUCCCCAGGCGGAGUGCUUAAUGUGUGAACGUCGGCACUAAGGGUAUCGAAACCCCUAACACCUAGCACUCAUCGUUUACAGCGUGGACUAC
rnacentral:misc_RNA from 1 species